rnacentral:lncRNA from 1 species
AAAAGAGAAGAAUUCGAUUUGAUGCUUACAAAUGACAAUGUAAGUUUAUUUUAAUUAUGUGAAUUUUUAAUUACUCUACUCUAAUUUUCUUUAGUUUUUAAUUAAUUUUAUGUUAUUUUCUCUCGUUAGAUUAUGUGACGGUCAUAUGCUAGAUUGCAAGACGAUUUUCUACCUCAAUAUCUUGUUGGGCAAAUGGAUGUUGCGCUUUCCCACAUAAUAUUGAUAUGUUUUGAAAAAUAACAUAUCAUAGGUCCCGUUGAAGUUGAAUUUGCCAGUUGAUUUAAUUCCCAGUCAAACAAUCAUUAACGAUAGUCAACAAGUAGAGCACUGCUUCACAAAAAUUUGAUUGGAAUGUGAGGCAUGUGAGUUUUGUAAAAUUUUGGGACGAGAGGAGAUUAAAUCUUAUUGCGACAGAAAUGAUAAUUUAUUUAUCUUAUCCUUCUUUCUAAUUUGUUAAAUUUUAUUUAUAUUUUAAACUAAUUGUGUUCUUUUUAUGUUCGGUAGAUGUGAAUGAGAGUCAAGGGCCUUUGACUUCUAAUGGUAUCUAUUUAUCCUGUCCUUUUUUCAGCUUGUUAAAUUUUAUUUAUGUUUUUAACUAUUCGUGGUCUUUUUAUGUUUGGUAGAUGCGGACGAAAAUCAAACGUCAACGAUACCCGGAGGAGUUGAAAGUAAUCUGGGUGAUGACUUUCAUAGUCCAUAUGUUGGUACUUAUAGUGGAGGUGCCAACAUCAUUGAUGAAGGGCCGAGUCAUGAAAUUGAGGUUGAUAAAAGUCACAUGGAAGAUCAAACUGCUACUGGGCAGCAUGCUGUGGAUGACUUUCAUAGUCCAUGUGUAGGUACUUGUGGAGGGGCCAACAUCAUCGACAGUAUUUGAACUUUCUUGGACUUGUUCUUCAUUGAAGCAGUUCCUGAAAUACAGGAGUCAGAUAAUGGAAGAUCUUUUCAACAA